GGUACAUCGGUGACAGGUGGUGGCAUGGUUGUCGUCAGCUCGUGUCGUGAGAUGUUGGGUUAAGUCCCGCAACGAGCGCAACCCCUAUUGUUAGUUGCCAUCAUUCAGUUGGGCACUCUAGCGAGACUGCCGGUAAUAAACCGGAGGAAGGUGGGGAUGACGUCAAAUCAUCAUGCCCCUUAUGACCUGGGCUACACACGUGCUACAAUGGUUGGUACAACGAGUUGCGAGUCGGUGACGGCGAGCUAAUCUCUUAAAGCCAAUCUCAGUUCGGAUUGUAGGCUGCAACUCGCCUACAUGAAGUCGGAAUCGCUAGUAAUCGCGGAUCAGCACGCCGCGGUGAAUACGUUCCCGGGCCUU
rnacentral:rRNA from 1 species